rnacentral:lncRNA from 1 species
UGUCCAGGUUUACCGCAUUCAUAGCAAGUAACCUUUUCACUUCUUGAUUCAUUUCUGCUUGGCCCUUUUUGCCUAUGCUUGCCUUGGAACCCUUUGAAGUUCUGCUUCUUCAUGAAUCUUCCAAAGUUUCUUGCAAGCAUAUUUAUUUGAUCACCAUCUUCAUCUGAUUCAGAUAAUGCCUCCUCAUUAUCUGUUGGUUCAGUUUGUUUGGAUCUUGAAGAUGAUGCCUUAAGUGCUAGACUCCUUCUUUUGUUGUUUACUUCUUCGGAUUGAGAAAGUCUCCCAAGUUCCAUUUCGUGCUCCUUUAGUUUACCGAAGAGAGUAGCAACAGGCAUUUGUGACAGAUCCUUGGCUUCAGUUAUGGCUGUC